GGCUGACCUGUCAAUCAAAAUUAAAAUCUUCCUCAAGAGUCCCCUGUCCCUGAAGAUCAGCGAGGAGGGGGUGCGAUUUUUACAAACUACCCUGUGCAUAUCUUAUAUCAUUCAUCGCGUAAAAAAGGUUGAUAAUUUACACCUACAUUACAAAAUUCGUCAUUCACGACACAGACCAGUAGGUACCCACAAAUACAUCGAGUUCUUUCGAAAACACCGUGUCCAGGCUAUUAUCGAACUUUUGACAACCAAUCAUUACCUAACACGAACGUCAUCGUGGUAUUUACAUAGGUACUUAUUUAUCACGAACAGUGAACACAUUUACAGUUUUAAAAUAUUAUAAGGGUAGAAAAACACCUCCGAGCUAUCAUUAACAUAGUGUCAUCUUACUUAUACGUGUGUAAGUCUAUAUAGGAAUGAAUUCCAUAAACAAUCGAUACAUAAUUGCUCGACCUCCAAAAGUAAAAAAAAAAUAAAGGCCUAUUAUUUAAAUUCGAAUCGAAUGGUGGCAUUUUCUUCAUAAUAUUAUAGUGUUAUAGUCGAUCGUGUUUAUGGUUAUAAGGCUUAACAACUGUAGAUAUAGUGAAGUGUCAGUUCGAGAAUUUUUUCGUAGGCUUCAUACGAGUAAAUUAUAAUUUAUUGAAUUUUUUGCUCAACUCAGUGGUCACAAUGAAGAUUUUGCUUUUCACGGUAUGCUUAUUAACCACCAUUUUGGCAACUUUGGCCAUGCCUCAUCAUAAAUUCCAUCAUCGAGGAGGCUUCUACGGUGGCAUCAGCGGUAACAUUGGUUAUGGUUUUGGUUACGAACCACAUUACCAUCACGAAUAUAUUUAUCCGCCGCCAGUACAUCGUCAUACUGUCAUCACAUCUUAUCCUGAUUUUCUAAUUUAAAUCAGUGUGAUUGUGUAUUGCUUAGAUAUAGAUAUUAAACGAGUCAAUAUUUCAUUUUUAUCGAUUUUAAGAUUAUAAUAACCGCAAACAACGUGGUACAUAAAACUGUAAUUUGUGAAUUUUUUUUUUUCAAUACUCAUACGAUGAUAUAGGAAUCUUAUAAACAUGAUUUCCAUGUGUGAGAAAUAAAUAUCUACGUUUAAUAAUGCAA